rnacentral:rRNA from 1 species
AAACUCGCUGCUGUCCAACCUCUUGCCUUUUCUGUUUUACUCGAAAAGAAACUAAACAUCCUUGGGACAAGUUGGGAACCAAGCCCUGCCCCNUGCCUUGAUUGAAACAACAUCAACCCCCUCAUCUUACAUAUAGNGGGGGGGGCCGG